UAUUGGCGCUGGGAUUGAAGCACAUCUAAG
rnacentral:piRNA from 1 species